AUUGCGGCAAUAUGGCGGAGGUGUCCAGGAAGGCAGAGGCCGGUGGUGAGUCUCAGAUCACCUCCCAACACACUACUGUAAGCUUCAUCAACUUCACUGCUCUCUUCAGCUACUUCAACACACUCCAUCGUCAUCAUGCCUGAUCCCUGCUGUGACGGUGACUGUAAAUGCGGCAAGAGUGAGUGUUGCGCAGACGGCAAGAGUUGCACUGAUAGUGAUGCUUGUCAGUGUGCUGCCGACGACUCCAAGAAGGAACACUGUGGUGAUACGUGUGAUUGUAAGGAGAAAGGCGGCGCUUGCAAGUGCGACGGAAAGUGUUCCUGUUAAGGGGAAUUCUCCAACGGUACCAGCUGACUUUUGUCGAUUCUGCUUCUGUUAACUCGCCUUCACAACGGCGCCAUGCGACAGUUUCAAUCUGCCUCCUCUUGAUGGACCUCGUUGGUGUAACCUCUUUUGAUUCUGCCUCGUAAUUCUGUUGAUGGGGGGGGGGGGCCCUUUCCUCUACCUGUGUCAAUUGACCUGCUGGAGUCUGUUGUUGCUGCUGCUGCUGCUUCCUGCUGCUCGCGUACACACACACACACACACACACACACACACACACACACACACACACGCCUGGAGAUCAGUUAUCGAGUGAAUAUUAAUUUUUUUUUCUUAGUUGACGAACACUGGGGCCCUGAUGGUCCUAAGGUCACUUGUUUCAGCAAGUGGCUCGUGGCGCAGAGCUACAAAGCUCUACACUUAGCAGAAAAGUGCAUGGGUAGUCUCCUCACCUUGAAUAGAUAUAAUCCUAGGAGUUAUGGGCUAUUUAGGAUGAGAUGUCCAAAUUAAGAUUCGGUGUAAGGGUCCUCACACUCCAGGUCACACUAAGGCCCUAUACAACACUUCUUGUUUAUCAUUCAACUGCGUUGAAUGGUUAUACUGUCUUUGGCUAGUCGCAUAGGGAGCAGGUCUAAAUAUUUAAAAAAAAAUUGUCAACAGCCAUAGCCCAGUGGUGAGAGUCGCGCCUCUCAUCAUAGAUCCAGGGAUAGGAUUCCCAAACUAAUUUUUAAUUAUAUAUCUUUUAAAGAAUUAUAUGAUGAACGAAGUAUUCAAAACUAGAGAUCACGAGCAUAUAUCUGCUCCUGUAGCUACAAAUAUAUAAUCAUGCAUGCUCACUCACUCAAGUCCAGUGUCUUUGACAAGUGCUAACAACCGGCAAUCUUGUACAUUUAGAAAAUUGGAAAUAAAACCCACUAAAAGUAAGCAAAUAGAUACUGAUUAGUUAAGAAAAAACAACGUAAGGACAAAGUUUAAAUUUCGUAAAGUUGUAUAGAAUAAGUAGCCAUUUCUUAAAAAAAUAAAUGGCUGUGAUCUUAGUAGCUCAUCAGAUAAUUGAAAGGCAAUUACAACUAAUUACACACGAAGACGUAAUGGACAAAUUUCUGAACACUCUUUGGACAGUUUCGCUCUAGAGGUUUAUGAAACCUUGAUGAAGCUCUACAGAUAUGAAAAGAAGUCUUCACAAAAGCCUGUUCCGUAACCUUUGUGUUUAAAUUCGUGUCUUCAAACUUUUUAGUGUAAAUCUGCCAGGAAGUAGUUAACAGUGUAACAGGAAGUGGGAAGCACGCGUGGAGGAAACAAAUUAUGACUUGAGGAAGGACACCGCGACCACAGCUGUACUCUUGAGCGUUGUACGACUCGCAAGGGUUUUUUUUUUUUUUUUUUUUUUUUUUUUUUUUAGUAAGUCCUUAUUACUGUUGUACCUUCGUGUGUGUGCGCGCGCGCACUAAGCAGCAGUGAUCUUUUAUCACUUGAAAAUUAACAUUUUUCUUUGAUAGUGAUAUGGUUAAGCGCUUCUUGAUAAUUAUAAUCAAAUAGUGACAUUAGUUUUUUUGGUUGCAUAUGGUUUACGGUGUGAAGACUGAGGACAAGCUUUUAUUGUGAGCAUUUCGCUCUAGAGAUUUAUCAUGGCCAUAAAGUUCUACAUGACGAAACUUCCCAAUAAAAGGUUGCUCUGCAACUUGUCUUGGUCUGCACAUUUGGUGGCAAUACGCCGUUUCAUCUGUUUGACUUCGUUCGUUGAAACUGCUCGGUUAAGAUUUGCUAAAUUAGUAUGAAUAUAAGUAAAGUAAAAAUAUUCUAUUGUAAUUUUCCACGUUAAAAGAUCAGGCCAUUAGUUUCAGUAAUUAGCUAAAAAAAAUUAUCAUUUCACUAAUAUUUCAUGAAUAAAAACUAAUGCUCCCCCCCCCCCCCCAAGUUGUUUUGGUGUUGUGGAAAUGUUUCGAGAUUAAACCUGGCAUGCUCUGGUAUAACCAAAGGCUCUUGUUAGAAUAAAAUUGUUCACUAAA